AGCGAACGCUGGCGGCAGGCCUAACACAUGCAAGUCGAGGGGAGCGGCAGCCGGGUGAGUAAUGCGUGGGAACGUACUUUUUGGCUCGGCACAACACAGGGAAACUUGUGCUAAUACCGGAUACCGAAAUAACGGCCCUCGUCUGAUUAGCUAGUUGGUGAGGUAGUGGCUCACCAAGGCGUCGAUUACUAGCUGGUCUGGGAGGAUGAUCAGCCACAGUGGGCAUGGGACACGGCCCAAACUCCUGCGGGAGGCGGCAGUGGGGAAUAUUGGACGAUGGGGGCAACCCGAAUCCAGCCAGGCCGCGUGGGUGAUGAAGGCCCUAGGAUUGUAAAGCUCUUUGGUGCGGGAAGCGGUACCGAAAGAAUAAGCCCCGGCUAACUCCGUGCCAGCAGCCGCGGUAAUAC
rnacentral:rRNA from 1 species